ensembl:snRNA U5 U5 spliceosomal RNA
AUGCUCUGGUUUCUCUUCAGAUCGUAAAAAUCUUUCGCCUUUUACUAAAGAUUUCCGUGGAGAGAAGCAAUUCUGAGCCUUUUCAAAUUUUUUGAAGCCUUGUCUUUUCACAAGGCU